AAACUGUUACUGUCAAGAAUUCUUUGCUUGUCCCACUCAUUUUCUAUGUUCAUUUACAUGAGAAUGCUAAGAUCUCCACCCAGCUUUAAGAUAAGGAAUGCAGGGGCCUAUCUCUUGCUGAGUCCCAAAGGACAACAGCACCUUAGGAAGAUUCCUGUUCUAUGAGGCACCUAAGUAAGAGUCUGAGCCAGAAACUGAGCAGAGAUAAACAAGAUGUAGAGUCUGAAGAUAGGAAGGCUCCCAGAAACAUAUUGUUAUAGAAGAAGAAAUCUUAUAGAAGCUCUGUGGAAAGCGAAAUCUUGUCUGCCUCUUAGUACUCUAUCCUUAGCAUCUAGAAGACUUGGCAAUCAUCUGUUGAAUAAAGGAAUGAAUCACUGUCAUGAGGGCAUGGUAGCUAUGAUGUAUCUUCUGGUGGAAGACAUUUUCCAACUCAUCAUCAUUCCUUCAGCUACUGGCUCUAUGUCAGGCUCUCAAUUACAGGAUUAAUGUAUGUAACAGCUUGAAAGACCAAGGCCAAUCAGAGUGAGUAAAAUAUAUACUAUCUAGGAAUGCCUUACUAAAUUUCUUGAUAAUUUUUAACUAGUAUAUAUUAAUGCAUUAUUUAUGUGAUUUCUUAUUAAAUUUUUUAAAUAAACCCCAGAAAAGCAGAGAGAAUCUUUGAAAA
rnacentral:lncRNA from 1 species